UCUGUAGCCUAGGUUCUGUAGCCUAGGUUCUGUAGCCUAGGUUCUGUAGCCUAGGUUCUGUAUCCUAUGGUCUGUAGCCUAGGGUCUGUAUCCUAUGGUCUGUAGCCUAGGGUCUGUAGCCUAGGGUCUGUAGCCUAGGGUCUAUAUCCUAUGGUCUGUAGCCUAGGGUCUGUCUCCUAGGGUCUGUAGCCUAGGGUCUAUAUCCUAGGGUCUGUAGCCUAGGGUCUGUAGCCUAGUGUCUAUAUCCUAGGGUCUAUAUCCUAGGGUCUAUAUCCUAGGGUCUAUAUCCUAGGGUCUAUAUCCUAUGGUCUAUAUCCUAGGGUCUAUAUCCUAGGGUCUGUAGCCUAGGGUCUGUAUCAGAGGUCAAACGAUUAUGAUUUUUCAAUACCGUUACCGAUUAUUGGAGGACCAAAAAAGCCGGUGCCGAUUAAUCAGCUGAUUUUUUAAAUUUUUUUUAAACUUUUUUAAACUUUUUUUUUUUUAACUUUUUUUUUUUUGUAAUAAUGACAAUUACAACAAUACUGAAUUAACACUUAUUUUAACUUGAUAUAUCAAUAAAAUCAAUUUAGCCUCAAAUAAAUAAACAUGUUCAAUUGGGUUUCAAUAAUGCAAUAACAAAGUGUUGGAGAAGAAAGUAAUAUAUGCCAUGUAAAAAAGCUAACGUUUAAGUUCCUUGCUCAGAACAUGAGAACAUAUGAAAGCUGGUGGUUCCUUUUAACAUGAGACUUCAAUAUUCCAAGGUAAGAGGUUUUAGGUUGUAGUUAAUAUAGUAUUUAUAGGACUAUUUCUCUCUAUACCAUUUGUAUUUCAUAUACCUUUGAC
ensembl:lncRNA